AAGUCGUAACAAGGUCUCCGUUGGUGAACCAGCGGAGGGAUCAUUAUAGAGUUAUACAAAAACUCCUAAAACCCAUUGUGAAAAUACCAUAAUUGUUGCCUCGGCGGGUCGUUCUACCCUGUAGUUUAGUUACCCUGUAACUCCUCUACCCUGUAGUGCACCUAAGAUCCGCCGAAGGUCCAUCAACCAAACUCGUUACAUUGCAACUCUGAGCAUUUCAAAACAGAUAAAGUUAAAAACUUUCAACAACGGAUCUCUUGGUUCUG
rnacentral:misc_RNA from 1 species